UCGAUACGGGUUGACUUGAGGAAGGUAGGGGAGAAUGGAAUUCCUGGUGGAGCGGCGGAAUGCGCAGAUAUCAGGAGGAACACCAGUGGCGAAGGCGGUUCUCUGGGCCUUUCCUGACGCUGAGGAGCGAAAGCGUGGGGAGCGAACAGGCUUAGAUACCCUGGUAGUCCACGCUGUAAACGGUGGGUACUAGGUGUGGGGUCCUUCCAGGGUUCCGUGCCGUAGCUAACGCUUUAAGUACCCCGCCUGGGGAGUACGGCCGCAAGGCUAAAACUCAAAGGAAUUGACGGGGCCCCGCACAAGCGGCGGAGCAUGCGGAUUAAUUCGAUGCAACGCGUAGAACCUUACCUGGGUUUGACAUGAUCGGGAGUGCUCAGAGAUGGGUGUGCCUCUUUUGGGGUCGGUUCACAGGUGGUGCAUGGCUGUCGUCAGCUCGUGUCGUGAGAUGUUGGGUUAAGUCCCGCAACGAGCGCAACCCUUGUUCACUGUUGCCAGCACGUUAUGGUGGGGACUCAGUGGAGACCGCCGGGGUCAACUCGGAGGAAGGUGGGGAUGACGUCAAGUCAUCAUGCCCCUUAUGUCCAGGGCUUCACGCAUGCUACAAUGGCUGGUACAGAGAGUGGCGAGCCUGUGAGGGUGAGCGAAUCUCGGAAAGCCGGUCUCAGUUCGGAUUGGGGUCUGCAACUCGACCUCAUGAAGUCGGAGUCGCUAGUAAUCGCAGAUCAGCACGCUGCGGUGAAUACGUUCCCGGGGCUCA
rnacentral:rRNA from 1 species